AUCUAGCUGAAGAGUCUCAAAUAAGACGAAACGUACAUCAAACUGGAU
rfam:Schistosoma haematobium scaffold1281_3, whole genome shotgun sequence.